rnacentral:rRNA from 1 species
ACGAACGCUGGCGGCGUGGAUAAGACAUGCAAGUCGAACGAGAGAAUUGCUAGCUUGCUAAUAAUUCUCUAGUGGCGCACGGGUGAGUAACACGUGAGUAACCUGCCCCCGAGAGCGGGAUAGCCCUGGGAAACUGGGAUUAAUACCGCAUAGUAUCGAAAGAUUAAAGCAGCAAUGCGCUUGGGGAUGGGCUCGCGGCCUAUUAGUUAGUUGGUGAGGUAACGGCUCACCAAGGCGAUGACGGGUAGCCGGUCUGAGAGGAUGUCCGGCCACACUGGAACUGAGACACGGUCCAGACACCUACGGGUGGCAGCAGUCGAGAAUCAUUCACAAUGGGGGAAACCCUGAUGGUGCGACGCCGCGUGGGGGAAUGAAGGUCUUCGGGUUGUAAACCCCUGUCAUGUGGGAGCAAAUUAAAAAGAUAGUACCACAAGAGGAAGAGACGGCUAACUCUGUGCCAGCAGCCGCGGUAAUACAGAGGUCUCAAGCGUUGUUCGGAAUCACUGGGCGUAAAGCGUGCGUAGGCUGUUUCGUAAGUCGUGUGUGAAAGGCGCGGGCUCAACCCGCGGACGGCACAUGAUACUGCGAGACUAGAGUAAUGGAGGGGGAACCGGAAUUCUCGGUGUAGCAGUGAAAUGCGUAGAUAUCGAGAGGAACACUCGUGGCGAAGGCGGGUUCCUGGACAUUAACUGACGCUGAGGCACGAAGGCCAGGGGAGCGAAAGGGAUUAGAUACCCCUGUAGUCCUGGCAGUAAACGGUGCACGCUUGGUGUGCGGGGAAUCGACCCCCUGCGUGCCGGAGCUAACGCGUUAAGCGUGCCGCCUGGGGAGUACGGUCGCAAGAUUAAAACUCAAAGAAAUUGACGGGGACCCGCACAAGCGGUGGAGUAUGUGGCUUAAUUCGAUGCAACGCGAAGAACCUUACCUGGGCUUGACAUGUAAUGAACAACAUGUGAAAGCAUGCGACUCUUCGGAGGCGUUACACAGGUGCUUCAUGGCCGUCGUCAGCUCGUGUCGUGAGAUGUUUGGUUAAGUCCAGCAACGAGCGCAACCCCUGUUGCCAGUUACCAGCACGUGAAGGUGGGGACUCUGGCGAGACUGCCCAGAUCAACUGGGAGGAAGGUGGGGACGACGUCAGGUCAGUAUGGCCCUUAUGCCCAGGGCUGCACACGUACUACAAUGCCCAGUACAGAGGGGGCCGAAGCCGCGAGGCGGAGGAAAUCCUAAAAACUGGGCCCAGUUCGGACUGUAGGCUGCAACCCGCCUACACGAAGCCGGAAUCGCUAGUAAUGGCGCAUCAGCUACGGCGCCGUGAAUACGUUCCCGGGUCUUGUACACACCGCCCGUCACAUCAUGGAAGCCGGUCGCACCCGAAGUAUCUGAAGCCAACCGCAAGGAGGCAGGGUCCUAAGGUGAGACUGGUAACUGGGAUG